AUGAAACUCUUAAGUUGGAACUGCCGCGGGAUGAGGAAGCCCGCGGCAGUUCGAGCGCUCUUGGGGGUCCUUGAGCGUGUAAAACCGGAUGUGUUGUUCCUGUCUGAGACACAUUUGGAUAGAGCUAAGGCAGGGAAACUAAUGAGGCGAUUGGGUUUCGAGGAGAUGGAGGUAUCAGAAAGUGAUGACAGAAGUGGGGGAUUGGCAAUGUUU
rnacentral:rRNA from 1 species